rnacentral:lncRNA from 1 species
AUGUCCCCAGUAGGUAGAAUACCAAGACUCAGGAAGAAAAGUGAUAUUGGGAUUGCCCCUGAUUAUUCCCACAGACCCAUUUGGAUAAUUUAUGCUUUCUGUCUCUGAAACUCUGUGGGUCAAAGACCCAGAAGUUUUGAACCUCAGAGAGGGAAUGAUUCCACUAGAGGACACAGCAAGAGUAUCACCAACUUUGAAUUCUGACUGCUACCUGGUUACUUGGAGCUGUUGAAUGUGGGAUGUCCCUUAGAUGAGGUGUGUCCUAAGAUUAGGUAGCUUUCUUUGACAGAGGUCAAUGCUGAGGGAGGAACUCGGCUAUGAGCCUUCAGCAAGCCAUGACUCCUGAGGAAAUAAUGGUCUUCAUCUUGAAGAGGGGAUUGGCCAACAACCACAGCAUCCACUACAGUCCAUUCCUUGCAGUGCUGGGCAGUGUACAACUUUUAUGGACAUUUCACCCCAUCUGGGAACAGCUUUCUCAGGAUUCUGGUACUGUUUCUGUGAGCAAGCCCUAGUCUGCAUGCAACUCUCCACCACGGAACUUCAUUUGCAGAGACUCUGCCCUUCAUAUCUCAAUUUCCCCUUUCCUCAGAGGGACAUUAAAUAAUUUGCAAUAAAUCCACUGCUUAUAAAUAACCUUACAGAAAGUAUAUUGACCUGUAAACAUAGCAUCGUCUGCCCACCUAUGACAUUUUUCAGCUUGUAAGGCAGGUAUCUUUCUCUAAAACUUACCUGGAAAACUGGUAUAGAAUUCUCCCUAAGAGUUUUAAUUUUCAGGGGACACAAGUGCAAAAAAGCAGUUACACUUGCUGUAUUCAUUAGUUUGCAAGGGCUGCUGUAACCAGCACCACAAGCUGAAUGGCUUAAACAAAAGAAAUAUACCGCUCACAGAUCUAGAGGCUGGAAGUUCAAGAUUAAGGCAUUGGCAGGUAAGUUCCUUCUGAGGGCUGAGAGGGAGAAUCUGUUCUAGGCUGUUCCUCUCCCCUAACUUCCAGUGAUUUGCUGGCAACUUAUGGUCUUCCCUGGCUUAUGGGACAUUACCCCAAUCUCAUCCUUUGUCUUCACACAGCAUUCUCCCUGUGUGAGUGUCUCUGGUCCAAAUUUCCCUUUUUAUAAGGACAUCAAUCAUACUGGAUUAGGAGCCUACCCUAUUCUACCAUGAUCUCAUCUUAAC